rnacentral:lncRNA from 1 species
UUUUUUGUUUUUUUUCGAACCCUCAGCUGCUCUUUAGAACCAUUUUUACGUUUUUUUUUUUAUCUUUUUUAAUGGCUCAUACUUAAUAUCUUGCUUCUUUAAGAUUUUUUCAGUGUUAUUAAUUUGGCAUAUCGUAAUUAUUUUCUUUUUUAUUUUUGAUAAAAAAAUAUUUCUAGUUUUGUCUUUAUUGUUUAUUAACAUUAUUUAAAAGAUGAAUUGUCUCUUAUAUGACAUCUUAUUACUUGAGUAAAAUGUUUGAUUGUUUUUUUCUUUUACCUUAGUUCUCA